CGAAAGGAAUUUUCGGAAGAGGUGGAGGAUGAUAUCUUGUUAGUAUCAGAUAACGACAAUAUGUUGGAAAGUGUUAACUUAGUGGAUGAUGGAAUUGCAGGAUUAGAUAGUAUGAUUGAGCCCGAGGUAGGUAUGAAGUUCAGCGAUGAAAAAGAAAUGUUCGAUUUUUACAAAAGAUAUGCAUACAACGUGGGCUUCCCGGUUAGGAAAAGAAACUCGCAAAAGGAUGAUGAAGGAAUUGUGAGAUAUGUGUGUUUACAUGUAGCUGUGAAGGGCGAAUGAGUACUACCACAAGCGGUUCUAUGAAGUCACAAGCUACCAUUUAGACAGGUUGUAAAGCUAAGCUGACUGCAUUUGCAGAUGCAUGCGGAGUAUGGAGAAUUAAUACAGUCAAUCUCAUUCACAAUCAUAAAACUAGCCCUUCGAAGUCCAGGCUGUAUCGUUGCAACCAAGAAUUGAGUGCCCAUAUCAAAAGACGGCUUGAAGUGAACGACAUGGCAGGGAUUCUGUUACAUAAAAGUUAUAACUCCGCAGUUGUAGAAGUAGGGGAGUAUGAGAAAAUGACUUGCAUCGAAAAGGAUUGUCGAAAUUAUGUUGAACAGGUGAGGCGGUUAAGACUUGGAGAAGGAGAUGCCGCAGCAAUACAGGUUUACUUUUCGAACAUGCAAGCAAGGUGCUCAGGUUUUUUCUUUAGUAUGGAUUUGGACGAAAAGUCGCGGAUGAGGAAUAUUUUCUGGGCAGAUAAUAGGAGUAGGCAAGCAUAUAAAGAGUUCGGAGUCGUGGUGACACUCGAUACCACGUACCUAACUAAUAAGUAUGACAUGCCAUUUGCUCCAUUUGUUGGAGUUAAUCAUCAUGGGCAAUCAUACUUUUAAUGGGAAGUUGGAAAUGCAAUGCCUAAUUACAUUCCAAAUGUACCUCGCCCACAUGGACCGAACUUUUAAUGUUAGAUGAAGAAGAAUGAUGGACGGAUAUUCACAAGGUGCUGUUCCAUUCCCAUCUGAUGUUCAUAGGCUAAAGGAGCUUGGCGUUUCUGGGGUUGUCACCUUGAAUGAGUUGUAUGAGACUUUAGUUCCAUCAUCUCUAUAUAAAAAUAUGUCCAGCAGAAGAGUAGAUGCAGUCACCAAAAAGUGACCAUGGCUGGAGGAGUGCUUUUGGUGGUUAAGAAUUUCGAGCUGUUGCCUCCUCCCGGGCAGUCCACCAUUGUGCUAAAGCCAAGAUCCUUUUUAAAUUUGUGUUUUGAAAAAAUAUAAUGAUGUCUAAAUGUGUUCUGGGUAUUUUAUUGUUUUGGCCACAAUUGUAUGAAUAUUUGGAUUUUGUAGUAACUUUCUCUCCUACACUCUUCAUACUUGGUUUGUAGCUACGCCGAAAUUUUAGUUGGCAGAAAGAAAGUUGCUGAGUAAUUGACCAUCAUGGUUGAAUAUUGUAUCAUUAUUCUGACGGCUAAGUGUGAAGAUGACAUUUUGCCAUCCUAAAUGAAUAUUUUACUUAUAUAUCUGUUUGGUGUAGCCACAUAAGAGACAAAUGAGCCCAUUUCUUACAUCAACACGCUGAUCAAUACAAAACUAUGUAGCCAGUUCCGUGUUUCGUAUCCUCCAAGAGU